UGAAUCCCAUCAAAAUUGUGUCAUAUGAUGAGACAACUAUAUAUAAUGAAAAGGCAAUACAAAUGCAGUGGAAAUAAAUGGUUAAUAAGUUAUAUUUCUCGGUUUCGAAUUAUUUACUAACUUAAUGAUGUAUAGAGUUGUGUUAGCUUUGCUUCUUAUAAACGUGGUGGCGGCGAAUGCUCGAUGUUUAAUAGUAUGCGGACCUGAUUUUCCGUGCGAACCUUUGCAUUGCAGAGAAAAUGAGCGACCUGGGGAUCCACCAUGUGGCUGUUGCAAAAUAUGUGUUCCUAUAGAACCUGCAGGAUAGGCCGUCUUUUCCGGAAAAUCAAGUACGAUUGGAAAACAAGGAAACAAUUUUUAUGCUUCAAAAUGAGAAAUAAAAACUUAUGUAACCUUGA